CCUACGGGUGGCAGCAGUGGGGAAUAUUGGACAAUGGGCGAAAGCCUGAUCCAGCCAUGCCGCGUGUGUGAAGAAGGCCUUCGGGUUGUAAAGCACUUUCAGUGGGGAAGAAAGCCUUGGGGCUAAUACCCUCGAGGAAGGACAUCACCCACAGAAGAAGCACCGGCUAACUCCGUGCCAGCAGCCGCGGUAAUACGGAGGGUGCGAGCGUUAAUCGGAAUUACUGGGCGUAAAGCGCGCGUAGGCGGUCUGAUAAGCCGGUUGUGAAAGCCCCGGGCUCAACCUGGGAACGGCAUCCGGAACUGUCAGGCUAGAGUGCAGGAGAGGAAGGUAGAAUUCCCGGUGUAGCGGUGAAAUGCGCAGAGAUCGGGAGGAAUACCAGUGGCGAAGGCGGCCUUCUGGACUGACACUGACGCUGAGGUGCGAAAGCGUGGGUAGCAAACAGGAUUAGAUACCCCAGUAGUC
rnacentral:rRNA from 1 species